rnacentral:rRNA from 1 species
UACGUAGGGUGCAAGCGUUAAUCGGAAUUACUGGGCGUAAAGCGUGCGCAGGCGGCGAUGUAAGACGGAUGUGAAAUCCCCGGGCUCAACCUGGGAACUGCAUUUGUGACUGCAUCGCUGGAGUGCGGCAGAGGGGGAUGGAAUUCCGCGUGUAGCAGUGAAAUGCGUAGAUAUGCGGAGGAACACCGAUGGCGAAGGCAAUCCCCUGGGCCUGCACUGACGCUCAGGCACGAAAGCGUGGGGAGCAAACAGG